rnacentral:lncRNA from 1 species
UUAGAACAAAUGUACCUCCCACUAUUUUCUCGAAUUCCUCACACUUCUCUGGUAGGAAAACGGAAAACCUAUAUGACUAGGGUUUCUAGUGGGUACUGCGGUCCCACCGAUUUACAUGCCACUUCACCUAACAGUUAUUGGUGACACAUAAAUGGAUGAGUGUACAACUCUUGUACAAUGCUUCUCAAGCAUGUUGCAGUGCUACUUGAUCUCUAAGUCAUGAAGAUCUCACCUAACAGUUAUUGGUCACAUUCCUUAGUUAAGUCAGAUCCACCAUAUAACCGUAGAAAUAAAGUCGUCAUUGGGUCCUCACCUAACAGUUAUUGGUGCCCAACCCCACCUUUACCCCUACAACAUCUCAUGUCUAUAGAAAGGUCCAGCCCCCCGAUGCAAC